UACGUAGGGUGCGAGCGUUAAUCGGAAUUACUGGGCGUAAAGCGUGCGCAGGCGGUGAUGUAAGACAGUUGUGAAAUCCCCGGGCUCAACCUGGGAACUGCAUCUGUGACUGCAUUGCUGGAGUGCGGCAGAGGGGGAUGGAAUUCCGCGUGUAGCAGUGAAAUGCGUAGAUAUGCGGAGGAACACCGAUGGCGAGGGCAAUCCCCUGGGCCUGCACUGACGCUCAU
rnacentral:rRNA from 1 species